UACGGAGGGGGCUAGCGUUGCCCGGAAUUAUUGGGCGUAAAGGGCGCGUAGGCGGCGAUUCAAGUGACGGGAGAAAUCCCUCGGCUUAACCGAGGAGCUGCCUGUCAGACUGGGUUGCUUGAGACCGGGAGAGGCGAGUGGAAUUCCCAGUGUAGCGGUGAAAUGCGUAGAUAUUGGGAGGAACACCAGUGGCGAAGGCGGCUCGCUGGACCGGAACUGACGCUGAGGCGCGAAAGCGUGGGGAGCAAACAGG
rnacentral:rRNA from 1 species